rnacentral:tRNA from 2 species
UGCGGAGUGUUAGCAGUAGUUAGCUUGUCUGGCUCAUAACCAGAAGGUCGGAGGUGCAAAUCCUCCCUCCGCAA